ensembl:lncRNA
UCUUCCAAUCACCCAGGCUACUUUAGCUUCCCUGAACCACGCCAGCCAAAGACACUGGACGACCUGUGCCCUCUCACGCAGGAUGCAUCUCCUUGAGUGCUUUGGGAGCCCCACCACACUGGUUUCUCUGUGAGGUCAUCUUUGCCAUGAUACUCUGGCCUCCUUCCUGGUAACUUCACACAUUCUGAUUUGCCACACUUCUGAAGGUGUUCAAUUAAGUCAAAACAUAAGGGCCUUCUGAGCAUUCAGCUCUGUACUUCAAGCCAUGGAGGAUAGAAAAGUCCCUAGGGGGAUGGCUAAGAGUCGUCCAAGGCUUGUCCACCCAAAGGGAGGCCCAAAGAGAAAGAAUUCCACUGUCAGUUAGAUUGGGGAAUCUUGAUCCUUCAAAACACCUAUUUUUAUAUGAAAGUUUCUGUGAAGUCCUGUCAUAAAGAAAAUCUGUUGCCGUUUUUUUUUUAAUCAUUGCUACUGACAUCUCAAGGACCUAAUGAAUGCUUUUGGAAUAUAAUUUAGGAAAUGAGUUAACUGCUCUUCAGCCUAAGGAAGUAUAAUCUCUAAGGAGCAUUUGGACACAGGCAGUAGCAUUUUGGGUUGUCAGAAAGAGAGGGAGGUGCUCCUGGCUUUAAUGUAUGGGGGAGGGGUAAUGCGACAGCGCAGACAGUGCACCCCAGCCUCACUAAGCCAAGAACAGUUCUGCCCCAAGUGUCCUGGGCAGUCCCCACCCCACUGACAAGUGGUGGCUGGACAAGUGCUCAGCACCAAGACUUCGACCCCCGCCUCCGCCACCCACAGGGUCUAACCCUUCCCGGCUAUCUCAGUCCCCUGGUCCCUUGCUUCCUCUUAUCGGGGUGCCUUCCUGGCAUUAGGGCAUUACGGGACAGAGUUCAUCCUUGGGUCUGGCAGAGGCAAGUAGAGAGCAGGGCUCCACAGUUCCAGAGUGGAUGAAAACAGGGUGCUCAAGUGGACCCGGGAGAUAAAGAGGAAAGGGCUCGUCUUCCUGAAAGUUCUUUCACCUCACCUCGUCUGGCAGAGAGAAGCCUGCCCCAUGGCUCAAGCCAAAGAGAACACACCUGGCGCUUAGCCAAAGUCAGGUGACUUGAAAAGGAACGUGAGAAGGGCGGGUGCAGCCCUCCAUCCUUCGGGGUUAAAGGAGACACCAACUUCCACAGUCUGCAAAGUCGGGGGAUUCGGUCUGUGCCUGCUUCUGUCAAAACAGAAAACGCCCAUGGCAACCGGCAAGUGUUACCUGAAACCGCAGAGUGUGUUUCACAAAACAAGGGUGGCUCAUCGAUAGUCACCCGGGGAGAUUCUGGCCCCGGGCCCACGAGGUGGCAGUUGGUGGGUGGGAUCUCUGCAGAGCUGGGGGGUUUCCGGGCCUCCACCCUUGCAGGGAGGAGCCGUGGGGGAGCGGGCGGCCCUGCCCGCCGAGGGACCGAAAGCCCCCUCCAUCUGCGCCUGGGGCGGGAGACCGGCGAGCAAUUGGACUUGAGACGGAGAACUGCGAUCACCAUCCGCCUCCUGUCCUACACACAACGGAGGAAGCAACGCCGGCACAUUUGCUCAUUGCAGGACAAGUCCCGUUUCUGCUCCCCUCAUUCGGCUGUAAAUAUGCGUCGUUGCGUGGUGGUUUCUGGAGCAGUCGAAAUGGUCUUCUCCCAGGAUAUUGCUUUGCGUCUGUUCUCCCCUUCCUCUUUCUCUCUCUGGAUUAAUUAGUACAGCCCCCACCAAUCCAUGAUCAGCUUGGAAGGCAUACUAAGCACCCACCAUUGAUUCUUUGACCCAAGUGAAGCACACACAUGGCAUCAGGGGGAACUAGGGAUAUGUACUCACCAACUUUGCAGAGUAAAAGAAAUCUCUGUGAUUGUCAGAAACAGACUAGAACUGUCAAAAGGAUACAAACUCAACACGUUAACUCCAAGUAAUCUCUGCCCUUCCCUGCUCACACUUUAAUCAUGUCACAGCUAUGAUCAGGGGCUGGGGGCUCCGGUCCUCAGGACACCUGCUACACUUUCAGUCCCUGCCAAGAACUUCUGCCACCCCACACAGAGUCAUACCCAUGACCCCAUCACCCUGGAUCCAAGCAGCUGCCCACUUCUGGUUGGUGAGCCAGUUGAAGGCUCAGCCCAGUGACACAAUGAAAUCCUCUAUCUUGGCAAACUUGACAAGGAGACUUUGAGGGAACACUUGUUAGUAAAGGAGACAGAGACAAAGCAGGGAUUUGGGGUCCUGAAGCAACAGAUGUGUAAAUAAACAGCAGGAAGAGCAGGGGCAGAGGAGUCCCCAAGUUGCCCCACUGAUGAAGCAUGAAGGCAAGGAUGGAUGGAGCCUGCUGCUCAGCUGACAAGAUGACGGAGCGUCAUUUUCUUAGGACUCUUGGUUCCUGCACUACAUCUAUUGGGCUCUCCAGAGAUCCUGUGUGGUUUGUCCCAGGUCACCAUUAGAUCUGUCAUUUGGUCUAUGGCCCUUACUUCCUUUUCUAUGUGUGGUCUUAAAAUAAAUCCUACCAUGCUUAAAAGAACUUAGUGGAUCUCUACUCCUUCCAAUCUAGCUCCUGAUCACUUUCUCAUCUUUUAAAUAACUUAAUAAGUUAAAUAAUAUGGCAGGAUUCUUGAUCACCUUUUGUUCAGCCAACUCUCUCUAGAUUCAUCAAGGAUUUUCUAGGAAAGAGAAAGUUUCCCUGGUUAGAGCUCCCUUUCCCCUCUGUGUCCCUCCAUUUAUUUCUGCUUGAUUAUUCAUUCACUCAUUCAUUCUCGCCACAAGCUCACAUGGAUUCUAAAACGCACAGGGCCACAUCCAUGCUUUGGAGGAGCUCAUAGGUUUGCAAGGACAGCAUCAUAAGUGGGGUCAGUGCAGGAGUGAAGAGAAGGGUGGGUGCUGCAUGCACCCCAAGGUGGAGGCACUGGAAUCUGGGGCAUUAAAGUGGGGUUGGGGAAGGCUAC